GUGAAUGCAAUUUCACCUGAGUGACCAGAAGGGGAGGAGCCUGGCUCCAACCCUCCUAGACACCAUUUAAGGGCUGACUCCCAAGGGGGAAGGAUCUCUAUCUAGAGAUCCUUCCUCUUGGAGCCCUUCUGUGAGCCCAAGAUAUGGGACUGGUUUUCAGCUGGGUAGGCUUCUGUCACUGUUGAAGCAAGAAGAUGAAGCAGCGUCCUGUGAAACAGCAGAGGUAGGAGCAGGGCUGCGAUGGCUUAUCUUGCUGUGGAGCUUUUUGAGUUGUCAUUUUUCACAGGCAAGUGUAUCCUCCACUGAUCCUUAGAUUUUUUUGUCAGCAUGUACGUGAACAGAUAUUUUUCAUUCAGGCUGCCAAAUGGGAUAGUACAUUAUUAGCUCUUAACUUCUACCACAUAAAAGAGUAACCAGACCCUGGUAUGACAGUAGAACUGCAGUACUGACUCUUUCCUCCUCCACUGUUUUUCUCCCCAGGACUCUGGGGGAGUUACCAAAUUUGGAGAGGCCCCUUUUCCUAUGUAGAGUAGGCAGUAAGAUUUCAAAGGUGACUGUAAAGCACAAUAGAGUUUCCUGUUAUACUUUGUUGAAUGAAUGAUUAUUGGUAGCCUUGUUUUGAUAUAUUUUUUUUUUCCUUUUUUCUUUUUCUUGUGGAAAGUUCAGUUUCUACAAGCUAAAGGAAAAAGAAUCAUGCUUCCUUGCAAAACUAUGUUGUGGAUGUAGGGUUUUUUUGUUUUUUUUUUUUAUUUUUCUAUCGAGAAAAUUUAAAUUAUUUAGUUUUGGUCAUCUUGUACAAUGAACUGCAAUAUUUUGGUUUCUUGACCCAGACCAAAAUUUUCACUUCUGAGUCACAGAAAAUUUUGCCAAGAUCUUGAAAUUGCAGUCUGGAUAUUUUCUCACUUGUACUUUUCCCCUGCUAUUCAGCUGUGCCCAUGUUUAUAGGACAAGUGACAUCAAAGUAAAUGAUAGGCUGGCCAUGAAAGGUAACAAUGGUGAUUAUUUUACCUCAGGGAUAAUUAUAGAUAAAGGAAGCAGAUGUAGUUCAAUGCUGAGUCUAUCUGAAAAUAAACAUGUCUUUUAGAUUCAAUGAGCUAAAAUGCAUCUAUAUAAGAAUACUGGCAUGAUUAUUUUUAUUUUGAAUCUUAAGUGAUCUGUUCUGGCACGUUACCUUAGAACCUUCCUGGAACCUUGAAAUCAUGGAAUAGGUGAGGAAGGGACCUUUGGAAAUCUGUGGCCUGAAGCCAGCUUCUGAGCAGAUCAUGCAGGGUCACAGUCAGUUAGAUUUUCAAUAUCUCUAAGAAUGGAAACUAUACAACUUCUCUGAUCAGCCUGUGCCAGUGUUUGACCACUCUCACAGUAAUUUUUUACUGCUUAUGUUCAAGUAGAAUUUCCAGUAUGUAAGUUUGUACCAGUUACUUCCUGUCACUUACUGGGCAUGGCCAAGAAGAGUCUGUCUUCCUCUUCUUAAUCCCUUCCUGUCCCCUCAGGCAUUUACACACAAAUCAGAAACAGAGGUACUGGAAUAUCCUAUGGGAAGAAUGAUCUAGUUUUCAUUCAUAUUUCUGUUAAAUUUAAGACCAAGUAUAAGAAGAUAGAGGAUGCAAACAAUGAAAGCAAAAUUUCCUAGAGGUGAAGUAGUUUGCAUAAAAGAUAUCAUGUCCCGAACGUUUUCUUACGUACUGUGUGACUCACACGGUACCACAUCACAUCAAACCCUUUAUAUUCAGUAACAUUUCUAUUUCUUCCCUACUGAGACAGAUAGAUCACAGCAAAAGCCAUUAAUGUUUUUAUUAGGCCCGUCUGAAUAGCUUUGUAAAGGACACUUGGGGCUGCCUCUUAAUUUACAACCCAGACUGAGCAGUAAGUUUAUGUGGACAAAAUUGUCUCUAUCUUUAACUCUAAGAAUUAAAUAUCACCAGCACAGAUAUGCAGAGAUCAUGUACUACUCUUUUCCUCAAAUUGUGGAGCAGCCUCUUGUUUGUUUGGCUUUGGAGUGUAGUUGCCUGUGCCCUAGAGGGCAAGAUUAUUUAAAUGUUAAUAAUUUGUCCCUAGCCUUUAAAUAGCCAGGGUGUUAUUCUCUCCAUUUUGCUUCACUGAAUUGCAUUUGAGUCCAUAUUGGAGGUCAGCUGCCUCCUACAAUUUAUGAGAUGCGUCUCUACAAAGAAUGAGAAUGGAUGCAAUUGAUGGAGAAGUUGAAGAAAAGAAAACUCAUGACUCUCAUUUUCCCUCAGUGAUGUCUACUAGCUGCUCCUUAAUGGAUGGUCAACUCAAGACCCUCCUGAUCAUUUCCUGGAAAUGAUCUUACUUUUCAGAUGGAAAAGUAAGGUGUCGCCCGUAGCAAAGAUCUGCUUUCUGGCACUGUACUCCCUGCAGCUAUCAUGCUGUGCCAGGGAAAUGGUAAGGUAAAUGGGCUGGCAAGAUGUGGCUCUAUGCAUGUUGCACAUGUACAUUCCCUGUUUAACAUGUCCUCUUCUACUUGCACAAAAGGACCGUAGUUGUUAACAUGCCAAUAAGUUUUAUUUCAACCACGUGGAGCAUGCUGAAUUUUUAUUUAUCAUAUACUGCAUUUGCUGUUACAUGUAUUUUGUAUGAGCGCUGCCUCCCCGUCUUCUAAGGCAUUGUAUUUAACCCUGCCAUUCAGUGCCCUGAGGAAGGAAGCUGAAACAUGAAUAGGGCUGUCACCCCAUACAAGUUGCCUCUUGGCAAGGCUGUGAAGGUAAGUUUGCAUUUCUGUUAAUCCUUUUAUUCUUAUUAGAUGGAUUUACAGGUGGCUAUCGGUCUUUAGGGUUGUCACUUCAGCCCUUAAAGGACAGGAUUGUGGCUAUCUUUCACUUUGCAAGAGGAAACAGUGGAAGGAGUGCUGAAGAGGUUCCCAUAUAGAGGUGACUUGGGAUACCUGAAACUGAGAAAUUUGUCUUUCAAAAAUUGCUAUGCAAAUUGCUAUCAUUUGUUCCUUUAGAAUCCUUCUAUUUUGUGAACGUGUGCUCAAAAACUUGAAUGACAGGAAGAACAAUUCAGUGGCUCAAGUGAAAUUGGCAGCUUUCCAUAUGCUACAGUAUUUGUAAGCAUCCGUUCUGAUGUAAGAAAUGUGAAUAAUAUUACUGGAUAUUAAGCCAACGUUAUAAAAAGUGCGCUCAGUGGUAAUUAAGAAAUUACAUACAUGUAAAUGAUCUUAAAGCUGGCUUAAAAUUAAGCUAGAAGUCUACAGCAGAAUGAUGUCAUGUUGGAUGGGUUCCACUUUUUGGAGAUGCUUACCCACUAACUUCCAUUCUGCAGAAUUUCCUCAGAGCAGUAAAAGGGUUCUUUGUGCUCAAGAAAUUACCACAUAGAUAAAUGGUGACAUAGAAGUGAUUUUCUUUUCAUAUGUGAUAUAUUCUGCCACAGAAAAACAAUUUCAGCUGUAUUUCUAAACAAAAGCAGGAGCUGAUUAGGGUAGAUUAAUUGCUAUUACCAAUUUUAAUCAUCAUUUAAAUCAGCAAAGAGGAAACAUUUUUAAAUAAUAAAUAUUAAUCUUGUUUUGCAUUCUAACUUAUUAGUUUCUUUCCUAAAAGUAUGCUGGACUUUCCUAAUUAGUAACCACAGGAAUAUAUUGAUUUUCACCUAAAUACAAUCUUUGUGCUAAAUGUGGUACUUCCUUUUGUCCAGCAGGUGAAUAAAUUAUAUCUAUAUUCAUGCAUUUAGCCAUUAUAUAGACGGAUAUAACUUUAGUCUCUUUCUGACUAACAAGUAAUUUAGAAAUUUGAUGAACAGUACAUUUACUGGUUACCCUACUAUGAUUAUCUUCUUGUUUGCGUCUCUUGUCAAGAUGCAGUUGGAUGGAAUCUGCAACUCAAUUAAAAGCACAAGCCCAACAUUGUAAAGUUGUUUGUUUCAGUUAAAUUAAACCACCUUAAGUAGCUGGUUACUUAGGGAAAACAUCCUUUUAUUGAAAUGGGUUUUGCAACUAAUUGUUUCAUUAAACAAAGGAAGUAUUGUCCAUCAGUAACAGAUUGUACUAAUAGUUUCUGAUCAUCAUGUCUGUCAUGAUUUUAGAACUAGCAGAUCUCAUCCUGUUACACCUCAUUUAUAUUUAUGGAUUGGAAGGGGAUAAUAAGCUAUCCAGUUUUUCAGCAGCCAAAAAUUUCUCAGCUAUGAAUAAAUUAGUCAUUGAAUUUAAGUCACUAAGCAAACAGAAAUGCAGAAAAUACCGUUCUUGAAGUUGCAGAAAAGGCUGUAGCUUAUUAACUAGUUCGGUACAUUUGCAGGUUUAGAUUUAGGACUCCCUAAGUUCUGAAUUACCUGACUCAGUGAUUUGCCUUUGGCAUUUAACACAUAUUAUGGGGUUAUUAAUUUUAUGUAAAACAAAUAAUUUCAUGAAUUAUAAUGAAUGUAGGCGUAGCUGUGAAUUGUUGGUGUUUAAGUUUUAAUUUUAUGUAGGUUUACUAGCAAAAGUAUAUUAAAUUUAACUUAAGAAUCUGGUUUCAACAUGAGCUUCCACUGCAGGAUGCACUUUACAGAGUUAAGCAAAGGGGCGGAAAUGGCUACCCACUAACCAGUAGCCACCAGCAAACAUUGUCUAGCCAGAUGUUGAUCCAGAUGAUUACAAAAACCUAGAAUGCAGCUGGAUUGUGAGACCCACCCAAAGUAAAUAAUGUUAAUGAUCACCUCAUGCUUCUAAGUUAUGUUAUAAUUGCCACUGGAUUAAUACAGAAAAAAAAAAAAAAAAAAAGUUCUAUUAAAUGACACUACAUCCCUGGGAAAGAGUGUGGGUAAGGCAUAGAGGUGUAGAAACAGCCUACUGAUUCAUCCUGACAGUCAGGUCAGGCUGACUGGCUCAUUAACUCAGAGGUAUAAAAUACUGAGCUUUUCUCUGAGGCCGGAGAGAGAGAGAAGGGACAGGAGAUAACCUGCAGGCAGAAGCCAUAAGAACAGUCAGUUCAGGAGAGAGCUUGAGGACUGAAGCUUAUGUUUAUGAGUACAUUUCUGCUUGCAGCCUUUCCCUUUACUGGAAAUAGGAAGAAAGUUUACACAGUUUGUGGGAGGGAUAGGUAUGUAGAUGGGACCGAGCAGUCAUCCCAGCUGCAGAGCUCAGCUGCCCUAGGCCAAGUGCAUUUGGUCAGCAUCAGCUUGGCAUUCCUGCUGUCCUCUGCUGCUCUAGGCUGCAGCUGGCAAUGUCUUCCAAGGCUUAAACGUGCUUGUGAGUCUUCCAGAAGUGUAGGGGAGCUGACCUCCGCAGCCCACAGCCCUUUAACAAUAUAACCAGUGGUGACACCAUCUUUCUGCAGUUGCGUCUUCAGUUUCCCAUGGGAAUGCAUUGCUUUACGGCUUAUAGUCACUAAUGCUGAUAAUUGGCCACACAGAAUUUGCAGGCUGCAUUCUGGCUCUUCCAGAGAGAUGGUACUUUUAAAGCAUGUCAGACAUAGUUGUGGAAUGGCAACAGAAUCAAGUUGUUCCUACUUUCCUCUCUCUCCUAAAAAGAGUAGUACGGUUUUCCUAUAUGAAAUAAGGAGUCCAUUUGAGAAAAGGUCAUGAAAAAACAUUGUACAGGAUUUCCAUUUCGAACCAGUCACACUAGUUUCUGAAAGCAACAGUGUCUUUCAGCAGCAUGUUCCAUAGAUAAGUGGCUCUCCACUCCAAGCUGGGAAAGAAUAAAUCUGUUUUGCUGAAAUGCAGCUUUCUGAAAAACAGAGGCACCUGACACAAAGUCUGUGGAACUUUUGUUCGUAUUUCUUUUACAAGACUUUGAAGGAGUUUUUAAGGCCUUGAAGUAAGCUGUCUCUUAGUUAGGAAGUCUUUAGGAGCUUUUAACUGAAAGCUAUGUGUCUGAGAUGAUAAUGGAGAGAAAUAGUGAAUGCAGCUUGAAAGGACAACACUGUUUCCUGAAUAUAAGCCCUGGAGAGCCAUUGUUGUGCUAUUAAGGAGAACUGGACCUCAAAAAUUGCAGCUCUGAGUGAUGCUUCAUUAGGCACCUCCAGGUACCUGGGGGAAAAAAAGGAGAAUGCAGUGCUACACAUGAGAAGCUGCACCCCAGAGCUACAGCACAGCAAAGAUGCUGAGGUCACAGCCAUUGGGCUCCAUUGGCUUUUGCAGUCAGGUUUCGAUAUUGAUCAUGGACAGAAUAAAUGGAUGGAAAGAAUAGAAUUGCGUAUGCCUUACUCAUAGAUCACACAUUUCUCACACAAAUGUACUUUGUUGCUGUACUUCAUUUAGGAGGCUAGCAGCUCUAGAAUAGUUUUUAGGGAAUUUUUUGUUUGUUUCUUUCUUUGUUAGUUUCCUGGAAACAGAAAUGGGAUAAGAGAGAUUUUGAAGCGUGUGGUGAGAGUUAAGAGCGUUUCAAACCACUGAAGGCUGUUUCCCACUGUAGACCUAUGCUGAUAUCCAGAUAGGUAGCAAAAGAAAGAGAUGAGACUAUUGACUGUUUUGUUUCCAGACAUCAGCUUUCAGCUCAAUCCUACAGCUUUGGAGCUGUCUGGGAGGAUUAACAAGGCCCAAGGUAUUGAUGAAUUGCAUCUGACACACUGCAAAGGAGAUUACUUGUAGCCCUUUCUCAUAGUAGUGAUCCUACAAGAUACUGCCUUGUCCACGGAAGCAACAGGGCACUUGAGUUCCAAAAAUGAUAAAUUUUCUUUUAACUCACUGGAUCACAAACAUCUCAGAGCCAAGCAGUGUACUAAGCUAUUGCAGUGUUGGUAUGCUGGGUUGUGGGAGCUAGCACUGAGUUGUAAGACCAUUUUGGCACUUUAUUCAGUAUGUGAUGAGAGGGAAAAAAAUCAAUCCUAAGAGGGGAAAAUAAGAAAAAAAAAAAAAAAAAAAAAAAAGAAUGAAAGAAGACCAAGAAUUAAAAAAAAAAAAGAAAAAAAAAAAAACCUUAGGGAAUUGGGAUAGAAUUCCAGGAGAAUAGUUCUCCAUGUAAGUCUUGACCAGCAGGACUUAACCACUUAAUCAUGUCCUUUUUUCAGAUGAUGAAUGAUUCAGUGAGACUAGUUGAAUUUAUCCAAGGGAUUUACAAGCUGGUACAUUUUGCUGGACAAGUAUGCAUCUCUGAAGCCUCAGAAGGACUCUGUGGACCUUUUCAAUAGGGCAUUGAAUAGAUGAAGCAUGUGUUAGAUCAAAUACAUACACCAAACUGAGGAUGAAUAAAUGAUGCUGGAUAUACCAUUGCCCAUGUGGAUAGAAAAGCAAAUGAAAAGCAUUAAAGGUGCAAAGACUGCUCAGAAGGAGCUUUUCUGAACUUCCCUGAUUGAAGGGAAUAUUUUGGGUGUAGAUAAUGCAAAAACUACAGGCAGAAUGAACAAAAUACAUGGAAAAGUACUUAAAUAAAUUAUGACAAUCCAAAAAAUGCUUCUUAGUGGGAGUGAAAUUGAAGAAGUGCUGUGCACCCAUGCCCAUCUUUCAACAGUAAGAAUUGGUCUCCACAGCAGUUCUUCCUUUAGUAGAAAUGAAUCAAAAGCAGGUCAUCUGUUGUCUCCUGGCAUCACUUCCCCGAAUGACAUCUUUUGUCUAGUGGGAGUUUAGCCAACAUAGCAGAACUCCUGGGGAACACAAAUGGUUUUGUAUUCCUCCCAGGAAGUAACAUUUUGUUGUGUGGACUUGGCCUAGGAUGUUGAUUUUUGUCAUCACUGCAGGCUGGGCAAAAAUAAAGCAUUCAUCCCAAAUGCUCUACUUGGGCUUGAAGGCAGCUGGUGUCUUAAGAUGCAAGCCUUUGUUGUUCCCAUAAACUCUCUUCCAAGAAAAUGGACUGCUAUUUUUGAAUUAGAACCAAUAUAAAAAACUGCAGUGAUUUGCAUUUCUGUCAGGCCUCUCAUGCAGAAGGGCAGUUUACUACAGAUUGUUGUAUCAGCUGAUUUACCACUUACAGGUCAAACUCUGAAGUUUUAGAACAAGGCUUCCAUUGAUUAAUAGGUAGAUUUUGGCUGAUAUUAGCAUUGUGAGCUGAGCCCUUCAGUGUUCAUUCAGAACCCUACAGGAGAAUACAGCUGUUUAACGCAACAUAUAGAUCACUUACAACUCUGGCUGUGGUACAACUUAUCAUCUGCUGAAAAACAACAGUGCUCAGUUUCUGCCAAGGAGAAAGCAGUACAGGAUGUAUGUGAAACUACAAAAUGAGUGUCGGUAGACUAUGUAGUUGCUUGCACAAAACUGAACUGAAAAGAACAGAGUUGCUCUUCUCUUCUUGUGGAUGGUGCUUUCUCAGCUUUAGGUCACGAAAGUCCAGAGCUCCCAUAAACUGUAAAAUCAGGAAAAAAAAAAAAAAGAGCGUGCAGAAAAUGAAACAGAUUGAUUGGGUUGGAGUGGAUCUAUACUCAGAAGCUGGGAAGCAUUAGAGCUUACAGGAGAACAGUGCUGUGCCCACAGUGAUCACGCAUGCUGCUCUCCAGCAUUAACUGAAGUAAGGGAAAAUGUCAUCAGUAGUGUAGCUUCAGGUCUUUAAUUGCACAAGGUGCUACCAUUGCCAAAGAAGGAGGUAUCUUUCUGCUAGAAAGUGCCAAAAUUAAAGGGAAUGUUUAUCAUCUCUUACUAUAUUGCCCAAAGAUGUUGUAGAAAUUGCAGGAAAAGUUCAAGUCUGCAUACUCCCUAUAUGCUUUCUUGCCUUCAGAUUUUUCCUCCUCAGGUGCAUCAUAGGUGGAAGGGCUACAGUGAGCUGUAAAACAGUUCUCAACUCUAAAUAUUGGACAUGUUGCUUGCAAUAGUGGUUGGAGCAAAUAGACAAACUAGAUCAGUAUGUACUUCCCAUGUAGAGUGGACACUGUUAAACAAAUGAAUAAUUUGAAUGCAUGUUUAAAGUAGUGAAAAAUACCUCUGUCACUCUUUUCCUAUUAAGUUGUGAUUCUUUUGGGGGAUUUUUAAUGUCUCCUGAUCCCCAGUUCCACAUCUGCCCCAGAAGAGUCCUCCACAGAAAGCAGUGGCUCUCUACUUCUGUUUUGAAAGGAGUCAGAUUAAGAGAAAAGUAGAAGUUAAUUACUCUGCAUUGGUGGGGUUCAUUAGUCUGCAAAAGAUAUGGACACUGUUUAAGAAGGUAGAUUGUGUAGAGGGAGUUUCUAACAGGCAUCUUUGCUGUCAUUAUUAAUAUCAUCAGAUUGCACUGACAACAAGCUAAAGGCAAGUGUAGGUGGGAGACAAACAAUGUAUCUGCCUCAAAGCACAUUAGUUAAUAAAGCUUUUGUUACAACUUGAUUCAUUGUCUAGUUUGGAGUCAAGACUAGUUAUUAAACAUUUCAGAGAAAGAAAGGAUUGCUAUGACAACAAAGCAUGAAUAAUUCAACUGAAGGGAAGAGGGGACAUGCAAUAACAGAACAAAUGCUAAAAUUCCUCUUAAAGGAUUUGUGUGCAUCAAAAGCAAUAAUAAAAAGGAAGAGUUUCAGUAUAUGCUAUCUUGCUAACUGCAGCUUAAAAAAAAAAAAAAAACAUUUUUUUCUAUCAUUGGUGCCUUGCAAAAAGAAAGUUGGAAUGUAAUACCUUCAGCAUCUUAAAUCUACUGAAUAGAGAGCAGAGACACAGAAGAACAAUCAGGAAACAUCUCUGGACAUGGAAGUUUUGAGUGUUGAAACCUGGUUGAAAUUUUGAAUGUUUUUCAUCAAAAAUGUUGAACCACAGAAGUCAGUGACAUGAGCCAGGGUGCUCAUGUCAUGUAAAGCAAUGCUCUUUCAAUUAUGAGAUCUUUUUCUUUGGAAAGCUUCUAGUCUCUCCCAGAAGAACUUAAAGAAAGUGGGAAAAAAGAUUUAACACAAGAAUGAAAGUGGAAUGCACUGCUUUAUUGCAUGUAUCCUUAUGAUCUCUUACCCAGAAGGCUUUUGCUUGGUGUUUGAUUUGAUUUUCUUUAACACGGCGAGUAUGCAUUUUUUACAAAGCAUGGCAUAUCUCAAUAAACUUAUUUAUUUUUGUAAAAAGCAGUUUUACCUUUUCUUUCAAAUAAAGAUAGCGAUACACAAAGGAAUGAACUGCAGACCAUCCAAAAUGCUACCCUAAUCUAUAGAGGAAACAGUGUAGACAGCAGCAAUGGAGUCUUUUCUGCCCUGCUCCCUGCUCCUCUCUCUCCAGAACUGAAGAUGCAGCUACUUUAGAGACCAGCCACUAUGCCACUUCAGGCCUUGACAUUCCUUCUGGCCCCAGGUAGAGAUGUGUGCCUCUUGUUACUGUGGAUUCACACAGAGAACCACCUGAAAGAGAUCUGAAUGGUGUAGGAACUGCUCUGUAGGCAUGUAAAAGGACUGUAAAAUUAAUGGAAAGUCAUCUGCUGUUUUAAAGACAGCAGCAAAAGGGAUGAUGUGGAAUUUUUUAUUUUUACUUUUUCUAAUGAUAGCAACUGGCUCUACAAUGUUAAACUGUAAGCCUCCUCCAUUUCUCUGAUUAAAUAAAUAAUUAAAAUAGAGCAUUAUAGAUUAGAAACUUUAAAAUUGCAUUUGUAUAACUGGAAGUGGAUUUGAGUGAUAACACAAGCGGGUGAUUAGUUUAAUAAAGUUUGGUAAUGUUUUGAGAAAAUUAAUUAAGUGGCCAUUCUUUUACAGUAUAAAGGCUGGUUACUGCGGCUGCAAUGCUCUGUUAUUAUAUUCAAUAAAAAUGUUCAUAGGGUUUUUAGCAUGUGAAUUAAGCACACAGUUCUAGCAGCUAAACUGAUGAGAAAGAAGGUCAGAACUUCUUUAUCUGCUAAAUGAUCCGGGCACUGAAAUAGAUCUACACAAUGGGCCUGAAAAAUCAACUUUGUAGAAAGCCUUUGAGCUUAUAUUCUUGACUCCGAAUAGAUCACUGUUUCUCAUUUUUUUUUUCCACUGGAAACUCAAAGAAGCUAAUGCAACUUAUUCCAGAGAAGCUCUCACGUUUGAAAUAUUCAUAUUUAGAAGUCAGAUGCAGAGUUCCUGCAGCAGUGAAUUCCAGAAGAAAGCUAUGUUAUGCCUACCUCAACAUGGCUUUUUAUGUACUUUGUCUUUAUGACAGUUUUCCUUCAUUUUUUUCCCACUUAUAUUUUAAACAAGCUAAAAAAAAAAAAAAAAAAAAAGAAAACUUCACAUUUAUUUCCCUUCUCCUUUAACAUUUUUGCUGCUUAAUUUCUUCUUUACUCCUCCCCUUUCUUUCUUGCACACCAGCUUUCAGACACUCCAGAAUUCUCUAAUGAUGGAUUCAUCAGAGAGAGUUAAGUUACAUUAAAGAAUAAGACGGAAAAAAGCUAAUAGGUCUUCUCCAUUUGCAUAGCAGGCCUGCCUGAGAUCAGGAGUCAGCCGAUGCCCAAGUGUUUGCCUGAGACUGCAGUCACCACAGGGGCAUGAGGUGAAGUGUACUGGAUGGCAACGAGGCAGCAUAAUAGGGUUACCUGGCCAGAUAAUUGAGCUCCAGUUGGUUGUAGAGUUCACAAAACUUCAUUUAUGAUAUGGGGCACUCAAGAAUUGUCCAUGUAACAAGAUCAGUGUCUGAGCUGCAAUUUCUUUACUCUGUUGUGGAGGGUCGAAGAAAGGUAAAAUGUUAUUACAGAAAGUAAGUGCAUUUUUGCAGCAGCUGAUGCAAGACAGAAGUCUCUCCUGGGCAUGGGCUGACUGAGGGUCACUGUAUGGUUAUGUCAACCCUGGACAGAGCUGUGAACUACAGUGAGACCACCUGUCUACUUCAACUGCUGAACUCACCUAUGAAGAUUUUACAAAUAUAAGCAGAAAUGUGAAAUGAGAUCUCUUCUUUUUUUUUUUUUUCUUUCUGCUUUGUCUAAGCUCUCUCAGUGAGGGCUGGCUAGCUCAUCUACAAUUCCCUCCCCGAUUCCAGCCUUCUUGAAUGUCCAAGAUGCAAGUUACCUCUGGAUGAGUACCUCUGAAACCGUAUACAUCUGCAAUUCCUAGUUUCUCCUGGGAGCAAAAAUGAAAGUGUCAAAACAUAAAAAAUAUGGCUUACAUUAGGGUUGUUCGUAAGCUCAAGGAAGGUGUAAAACUCACUAAUUUCAAUAAGCUGUGAAGGAAAACAACCUAUCUGCAAAAUGACCAGAAACAGGAAAAUGUGAAAUUGCAUAAGGCAUGCUGACCUAAUGAUACUUCCAGCCUAUCCCUGCUGUCAAAAUAUUUAGACAGUGCAGGGCCGCAUUUGAAUGUCAUCAGUGCAUUUGAAGCCAGUAUCAACUCUCUUUAAUUUAUUCACUGCUUCUAUGGAACUGCUGUUGAUCUAUAGGGUGUUUGUUUGUUUGUUUGAUUGUUUGUUUAUUUUUGUAUGGGAAGAAAUCACAAUAAAAUCUGUCAAUUCCCUUUUUGAUGUGUCAACUGUAAAUGAUAUCAGUCAACAUUGCCAGUAGUGCCAUGUAGUAUUGUAGAAGCCUGCUAAAAAUGCUCCCUGAAACUUGUGCCUCAAGUAAUAAUAAUGAAAGAAGUGCUGUUAUAUAUCUUUUUUUCUUCUUAUGCACUUAAAUACAGGGGAAUCUUCCUGCCUGACAUGAAGUAGCUGCCAUUGUUUUUAUUGCAUACAUGGGAUAUUACAGUCACUCACGAUAUAUUUUUCAUUUCAUUGUGUUUCUCUAGCCAUUUGGAUAGUUUGAUCAAGUCUGUCAAAAAUAGAUAUCCGAAGCUAGACUCCUAAAUGAAAGACUCAAGUUUGCCUCAAUAUGAACAUCCAGUGGCUUCUAUUAAUGUCAGUUAGAGUGACAGCAUUCCUCAUUUAAUUCAUCACUUAGUAAUUUGGGUAGAUUUUACUUAGGAACAUAGUUCCAUGCAUUUAUCUAUUUCUUUUUUCUGAAAUACUGUCUAGAAUUCUUGUUUCUGUUCACUGUUUUUUCAUUUUCUGUUUUUUAUUUUUUAUUUUUUAUUUUAUUUUAUUUUUUUUUUACUUCAGAAGUGAGUUAGCUAAAAGCUGAUAUGGGGGAAAAAAGGCUUUUCUAAUUAUGGAGAAAACAAUGAAGUGAAAAAUGAGUGCAGUGAACUCGAUUAAAUGUGUGGUAGAAAACUAGAAGGGUUAUGAGGUUCAUGAGCAUAAGAGAAGAAAAGGAUUAAAACAGGGCAUGUCAGCUCACAAGCUCAGAAUUAGUGGUGUCCUAGUCAAGGGUCAUUCCUGUGGGGAGCAGAGGUGCUCCCUGUGUAGUAAGAACUCUCAGUGCUCUGCAGCGGAAGCUCAGUCUUGUACAGGGUAUGUACUUCAGACCUUUUUCUACAUCCAGAGAUCCACAGAGAACAAAGCAGAUAUCAAAUAUGAGGGAAUAAAUAAUAGCAAUAGUAACAAUAAUAAUGCUAGGAAACGAGUUAUUUGCCUUCUAUACAACAGCAAAAUAGAAAGCAAGGAAAGUAAGAAAAAAGAGAAAAUAAGAAAUGAAUUUUUGAAAGGUUCUGCUGAUGGGAAAGGUCAAAUGGACCAGGAGGCAUUUUGCCUAAAGUAGCAUGAGGCAGCAUUUCUGGAGCUGUGUAUCCUGCCUAAUGGAGGCAUGAGUUGCCAUGGCCUAGACGUUCAGAUUAUCUGCCAGGAAACAUGUUCCAUGUGCUAGCACAGGUUUUGCCACCUCAUGCUUUGAAAGAAGCUCAAAGCUAUAUUACACACCUGGAAUAGACAGAAAUGCUCAAGGGACAUGAUUUAGUUCCUCAAAAUAACAAAAGAAUUUGUUCUGUGAAGUUCCCAAAGGUCUUCAUAAAGUUCUUCUGUUGGGAAGUUAAGCAGUUGCAGGUCUAAGUCCCCUGAGGGAGAAAUGGGGCAGGAGCAACUCAGAAAAUUUGCACCAGCUAUUGACGACCUAUCCAGCAUCAAUGGGAAGCUCAUUUGCCAUGGAUUACAAGAAGCAGAACUAGAAGAAAUGCAAGGUGUUUUUUAAAAUCAUGCACUGACCAGAGAGGAUCGUAAGCAAAUAUAUUUCCCAAACAUUGACUAGUGAGCGUUCAGCAAAUGUUAGGACCAGUUUUUAUGUGAAUAUUUUUUCACAUUUGAGAGUGAAUUCAGAUUUAAUGGCUUUGUCUGCCAGUUGUUCGUAAGUAUAUUUCACAAUAAUUUAGCGUUUGAGGUCUUCUAUUACUGUGUAAGGCAAAUGUCAAACUGAAAUGCACAAACAUUUACCGAGAUAAUACUUUAUGUAGUGUAAAAUUUCUUAUUUAGAUUUUGUGUUAGGUUGAAGAAUUACAUAAAUCACCUAGAAACAAAGAGGUUGACCUAUGUAUCAAAGCAACAGAGCAUGAACUGAGAAUGGGGAAUCAGUGAAACAAACAGUUUGCAAGUGAUGCGUAGAACAAAAAUGAGUUUUCUGAUGGCAGUUCUGUGUGAUCUCCAACUAUUACAUCUGAGAUUUUUCUAGUCUGGUUGAGGACAGAUUUCCAGAGAAAGGAAAGUGUGUACAUGCUUUGCAGAUAUUCAAAGCCACAGUGGGUAGUGAUCCUGCAGAACCUCUUCUAGCUGACCUGUUUUGAUCUGUAGUGGGCUAGAUGACCUUCAACUUCAGCACUGUUACCUGUUCUUCAGUUCCUCCAGUUGUUCCCAUUUUUAACUUAAUUGUGUCCUAUCCUUUGCUGAUGAAGAUCUGAGCAUUUUCUCUUCUGUGCAACAAAGGCAAAUUGGAUCCUGGGCCUCAUUCGCAGGAGCAUUACUGGUAGAGGUAGAGUUGUCUCACUCUAGUCAGCACUUGUCAAGAUGCACCUGAAGCAAUGUGUCCAGUUCUGGUACCCACAAUUCAAGAAAGAGUUGGACAGGUUGAAAAGGGUCCAAAAAAGAGCCACAAAUAUGAUUGAAAGGCUAGGGAACCUGCCCUUUUGGGGAAAGUCUGAAGGAGUUAUGUCUUUUCACCCUAGAGAAAAGAAAGUUUAGGGGGAAUCACAUCACAGUUUUCCAGUAUAUUUAGCAGACUAUUGUUGGUGGAUCUCCAUCUCAUGUCCAAAUGAGACUGAAUUCAUCUAUAGCACGUUCUGUUCAAAUUCACUUUAGUUCAGAACUUAGAAACUUACCAAUUAAUAUAGUCUUUCUAGUCAUUUUUUACAAGCACAAGCUGAGUUCUUGUUAUUUUAAUUGUUGUUAUAGCAGAAAUCUCCUAAGUCUUUUUGCCAUAUGCCCACUCAGAAAAGGCACAACCAGAGAGAGAAAAUCAGACUAAUGGUGGAUUAAUCUUUUUUUAAAAACACAUUAAUCAUGGCCACUCUUGUACAUUUUUAAAUUGUGUUUCUAUGUCAUGCUUAACAAAUCAUGCUGCAAGCUAAUAAAGGAAUACAAAAGAGCUACUUGAGUUAGUUGAUCCUUAAAAAAAGGCAAGAUAUUCAAAGAGGGGAAAGAAAAAGAAUUAGCUUUUUAAUAUCCUGCUUGCAUUAUGCUACAUGCAUCUAUCAACAGAAGAGAGAGGCAACUUCAAUCUCGGCAAGUACAAGCAAAGUCAUAGAUGUCCUACUGUGAUUUUAAUUCAGUGUAUAAAUAUCUAAGAGAGAGAAAGAGCUUAGCAGUAAUUUAGAGGUACCAGGCUGUUGGUAAUGUGUUCAAUGGUUAGCAUUGUAGGAAACUAUUAGAAGGUAAACCAAAGGAAAGUCAAUAGAGAGAAGCAAAACUAUUUUGUGACACCAAACCAUGAGAGCUACAUUUAUGAUCUAAUUGUUGAUCUGGAUCUGUUUUCAAAGAUACUGUUGUUAUGACUGGAAUGCCAGAUGUGAUUAAAUGCUGUGCUGGGUCACAAUUUAAUCCACUCUUUUACACUUGUCUGUCAAAGAGCUUGAUGAACUGAGCAUGCAGAAGAAGAAUGGUGGCCCAAAUGGUUUGUAAGAUGUUGGAUGCAUUUUGUUGCAGAUAGAAUCGUUCUUUCUCUCCUGUUUCAAAAUUCCUCAUAGACAGAUCAGCUGGUCAAGCUUCCAUGUCUCAUCUUGACUUUGAAGACAGUCACCAUCUUUGACUGCUGAAUUUCUGAGUAAAAAAUAAUAUAUCGCCAAAAAGAAAACUGCAAACCAACAAGCCCUGCAUCACAAUUGGUAGUGACUGCCACACAAGGAGAUGGUGUAUAGAAGAUGAAGAAAAAAAAAGCAACAACAAAUGAGAUGGUUUCACUUCUUCCUUAGGGAGAACAACAAGAAUUUACAGACAUAGAAGAAGCACCACUCCUAGUACCACAGAUGCUCUAACAAGGACUCAGGUGUAUCACUUGCUUCAUGUUUUUGAACAGAUUGCUAACUGUAUUCUAAACCUGAACCACCUACUGAAGACCUGCAGGAAAAAAAAAAAAAAAAAAGUGGAAGAAUUGUGGAUAUCCUAAUUUGAGAGGAGGUUAUAGCACAAUAUUAUUAAGAUCAAACUGCCUCUUGCCUCAAAUCAAGAAGAAAACCACUCUUCUUUGACUAAAGCCAGUUCAGGAACAUUUUCUUCUGUCAAAACUUUCAGCCUGUUCUUCCAAGACAUGUAGAGUCAAAGAAAUGGUCUCACCACCUCCAACCCCAGUGCAGACCUCUUGGUCAGCCUUGUCUGAGAUGACUUAGCAUGGGGUAGUGGGAACUCUUAUCUGGCUCAGUGCUCCUGUUGAUGGUGGAUGAAAUGUUUAUUGUGUUGUUCAUCACAGAGAUCAAAAUGGCUUCUGGACUUUGUGCUGGUCUGUAAGUACAGUUGGGAAUGAACUUUUUACUGCAGGGUAGCAUCUAAUAUUCAGGUAUAGUGAAUACCAUUUGCUUUUGCCCAUCACUGAUGAAAAUUUUGUCCAUCAUUACAUAUAUUGUAUUUUGUAAGCCACAGUUUUCACCAUGCUCCUUCUCCAUGGUGUAGACAAAACAGAUAAUUCCUCUGAGGUUUAUUCCUAUGCCUGCCUCUUUACAAGUAAAUGCUCUCCUUGCUCUUGUCCUCUUGACAGCAUUGAAAGUUGCUCUGCCAAGAAUGCAGACCGUGGAAGGUUUCACAUGACAAUCAACCUGCAGAGAAAGACAGAACAAAUUGCUUCUUGACGUAUUGGUGCUAUCACCUCUUAUGAAGCAGUAAAUUGCCUUGUAGACCAGGUGAUGUGGAAGUGCAUCUAAAACAUAGAAGCCAGCCAAAUAUAAAGGUCCUCUUUCUUGUCAAAGAUCCAAGAAGGUCUGGCAUCUGCUUCAGUAUCUAAAGCAAAGACUUCCUAUGUACACGGAUGUCAAGCAGUAGAUCUUUGAUGGUGUCUCAGUAGCUGGAGGCAAUGCAUCUGUCUGCUGACUUUAAGUUGUUGCUUUUGCUGAUUUACCUGUUAG
ensembl:lncRNA